rnacentral:rRNA from 1 species
AGAAUCAACGCUGGCGGCGUGCCUAACACAUGCAAGUCGAACGAGAAAGUGGAGCAAUCCAUGAGUAAAGUGGCGCACGGGUGAGUAACACGUGACUAACCUACCCUUGAGUGGGGGAUAACCUAGGGAAACCUGGGCUAAUACCGCAUAAUACCUUCGGGUCAAAGGAGCAAUUCGCUUAAGGAGGGGGUCGCGGCCGAUUAGUUAGUUGGCGGGGUAAUGGCCCACCAAGACUAUGAUCGGUAUCCGGCCUGAGAGGGCGCACGGACACACUGGAACUGAAACACGGUCCAGACUCCUACGGGAGGCAGCAGUGGGGAAUUUUGCGCAAUGGGGGAAACCCUGACGCAGCAACGCCGCGUGGAGGAUGAAGUCCCUUGGGACGUAAACUCCUUUCGAUCGGGACGAUUAUGACGGUACCGAGAGAAGAAGCCCCGGCUAACUUCGCGCCAGCAGCCGC